rnacentral:rRNA from 1 species
AACGAACGCUGGCGGCAUGCCUAACACAUGCAAGUCGAACGAGACCUUCGGGUCUAGUGGCGCACGGGUGCGUAACGCGUGGGAACCUGCCCUUAGGUUCGGAAUAACUCCCCGAAAGGGGUGCUAAUACCGGAUAAUGUCUUCGGACCAAAGAUUUAUCGCCUUUGGAUGGGCCCGCGUUGGAUUAGCUAGUUGGUAGGGUAAAAGCCUACCAAGGCGACGAUCCAUAGCUGGUCUGAGAGGAAGAUCAGCCACACUGGGACUGAGACACGGCCCAGACUCCUACGGGAGGCAGCAGUGGGGAAUAUUGGACAAUGGGCGAAAGCCUGAUCCAGCAAUGCCGCGUGAGUGAUGAAGGCCUGAGGGUUGUAAAGCUCUUUUACCCGGGAUGAUAAUGACAGUACCGGGAGAAUAAGCUCCGGCUAACUCCGUG